GUAAACGAGCAGCCUCCAGUCACAGAGGUAUGGCAAUGAAUGAUGUACGGCUCCCCGUGACCUAUGGAGUGUAUUUCAGCAGCCACAGGUCUGUUACUACAUAGGUUCUUGCUACUGUAAACAGUGCCACUGUGAAUACUCUUGUGCAUCUCUCCUGUGAUGUUUGAGCAAGGCAUCAUCUGCAUACCUAGGAGUAGACCUGCUAGGUUCUAAGCCUUGCAUGUCUGGGAUACACGCCACUUGACUGAGGUUUUACAUAUGCUUCAUCUGCACAGAUGUAUCAGGUGAGAAAAACUGAAAAUACACAACUUGCCCAAGGGUCUUACAAUUGAUUGUAACAGUGUGCUAAGAACUAGCCGGAGAUAGAAACUGAAGAAAUACUCAGCUUUGCUGUUUAUGGUCCUCAUCCUACAUCCAGCUCUUUAUCAUCAUUUUUGGGCUAGGCCCAGAAAGGUCUUUCACAUAUCCAUGCCCAGGAGCUCCUGACAGUCUCCUGCACAAAGGAGCCCUGUGACAGAAUUCACUUCACAGACGAGGCACGCCAGAUGAGAUCAGGGUGUAUAGUCGUCAUGUGGGACUAGGAGCAUAAAGGGACCUGACUGGAUGGCCCCUCAAAUGUGUAUUCUCAGAUGAUCUCACCAAGCCAGCUCCUACUGGCCUGCUUUUAUAGAUGGCAUUUAAAGCCAUAAGACUGAAUGGAAUCACCUAGGAGCAAGUAAAGACAAAGUAGAAAGAACCAAAGACUGAGGACUGGGAACUCAUAAUUUAAGAUUUGACAUUCAAAAUGAACAAAGGAAGCUGAGGAAGAGACAUCUUUGAAGAAAGAGAAUGAAGAACACAUGGUUCUCCUUAAGUCAAGUUCUGAGUCCAUUCCAAGGAGGAGGGUGAAGUCAUCUAGGUCAAAAGAUGCCAAUGGGUCAAGUAAUGGGAUUGAGAACUGAGCACUGUUCACAGUUCACAACACAAAGGUGAUUAGUAACCUUCGUAUUGUUUGGUAAAAAUCACUGAUGACAGGUUCAAGAAAGAAC